UACGGGGGGGCAAGCGUUGUUCGGAAUUACUGGGCGUAAAGGGCUCGUAGGCGGCCAACUAAGUCGGAUGUGAAAUCCCCAAGCUUAACUUGGGAACUGCAUCCGAUACUGGAUGGCUUGAAUCCGGGAGAGGGAUGCAGAAUUCCAGGUGUAGCGGUGAAAUGCGUAGAUAUCUGGAGGAAUACCGGUGGCGAAGGCGGCAUCCUGGACCGGCAUUGACGCUGAGGAGCGAAAGCUAGGGGAGCAACGGG
rnacentral:rRNA from 1 species